GCUCUCGUAGCUCAGCAGGUAGAGCACCAGACUUUUAAUCUGGGUGUCUCGGGUUCGAUUCCCGACGGGGGCACCA
rnacentral:tRNA from 1 species